AAAAAAAGAAGAAAAAUUUGAAAGGAGAAAAAGUUAAUGAAAAAUUAUAAAAAUGCAAUAAAAAAUAACCGAGAAUGAUAAAAUAAAAAAAGAAAAGAAAAAAGAUAGAAAAAUAAAAAAUUUCAAAACUUAAUAAAAAUUUAUGAAACUAUAAAAAAAGAAAGAAAAAAAAUUAAAGCAAAAGAAAAAAGAUAAAUAAAGCACAAAAAAGAAAAAAUACAAAAAUACAACAAAAAUAUAAAAAGUAAGAAAAUAAAAAAGGACAAAAAUUGAAGAAAAAUUUCAAAAAUGAAAUGGAAUGACAAAAUGAAAAAAAAAAAUAGUUUAAAAAGGACAAAAAAUUGAAAAACAU
rnacentral:lncRNA from 1 species